GAUGAACGCUGGCGGCGUGCCUAAUACAUGCAAGUCGAGCGGUAAGGCCACUUCGGUGGUACACGAGCGGCGGACGGCUGAGUAACACGUAGGAACGUACCCCAAACUGAGGGAUAACUGCCCGAAAGAGUAGCUAAUACCGCAUGUGCUCUAAGGAGUAAAGCUACGGCGGUUUGGGAACGGCCUGCGCAUGAUUAGCUUGUUGGUGAGGUAAUAGCUCACCAAGGCGACGAUCAUUAGCUGGUAUGAGAGGACGAUCAGCCACACUGGGACUGAGAAACGGCCCAGACUCCUACGGGAGGCAGCAGUGGGGAAUUUUGGACAAUGGGCGCAAGCCUGAUCCAGCAAUGCCGCGUGCAGGAUGAAGGCCUUCGGGUUGUAAACUGCUUUUGUACGGAACGAAAAGCCCCGGGUUAAUACCCUGGGGUCAUGACGGUACCGUAAGAAUAAGCACCGGC
rnacentral:rRNA from 1 species